GAUGAAGAACGUAGCGAAAUGCGAUAAGUAAUGUGAAUUGCAGAAUUCAGUGAAUCAUCGAAUCUUUGAACGCACAUUGCGCCCGCCAGUAUUCUGGCGGGCAUGCCUGUCCGAGCGUCAUUUCAACCCUCAGGCCCUGGUUGCCUGGUGUUGGGGCGCCGCGCACCCUCUGCGGGCGCGGGCCCCGAAAGUCAGUGGCGGGCUCGCCAGGACUCCGAGCGCAGUAAUUUUCUCUCGCUGUGGAGCGCCUGGUGGGUUACCAGCCGUAAAACACCCCAAAUUCUAAAGGUUGACCUCGAAUCAGGUAGGAAUACCCGCUGAACUUAAGCAUAUCAAUAAGCGGAGGA
rnacentral:misc_RNA from 1 species